rnacentral:rRNA from 1 species
UUAAGUUAAUAAGGGCGCACGGUGGAUGCCUUGGCACUAGAAGCCGAUGAAGGACGUGACUAACGACGAAAUGCUUUGGGGAGCUGUAAGUGAGCAAUGAUCCAGAGAUGUCCGAAUGGGGGAACCCGGCAGGUAAUGCCUGUCACUCAUUACUGUUAAGGUAAUGUAGAGGAAGACGCAGUGAACUGAAACAUCUAAGUAGCUGUAGGAAGAGAAAGCAAAAGCGAUUGCCUUAGUAGCGGCGAGCGAAACGGCAAGAGGGCAAACCGAAGAGUUUACUCUUCGGGGUUGUAGGACUGCAACGUGGACUUAAAGAUUAUAGAAGAACUACCUGGGAAGGUAGGCCAAAGAGAGUAAUAGCCUCGUAUUCGAAAUAGUCUUUAUACCUAGCAGUAUCCUGAGUACGGCGAGACACGAGAAAUCUCGUCGGAAUCUGGGAGGACCAUCUCCCAACCCUAAAUACUCUCUAGUGACCGAUAGUGAACCAGUACCGUGAGGGAAAGGUGAAAAGCACCCCGGGAGGGGAGUGAAAUAGAACCUGAAACCGUGUGCCUACAACAAGUUCGAGCCCGUUAAUGGGUGAGAGCGUGCCUUUUGUAGAAUGAACCGGCGAGUUACGAUAUGAUGCGAGGUUAAGUUGAAGAGACGGAGCCGUAGGGAAACCGAGUCUUAAUAGGGCGCAUUAGUAUCAUGUCGUAGACCCGAAACCAUGUGACCUACCCAUGAGCAGGUUGAAGGUGAGGUAAAACUCACUGGAGGACCGAACCAGGGCACGUUGAAAAGUGCUUGGAUGACUUGUGGGUAGCGGAGAAAUUCCAAACGAACUUGGAGAUAGCUGGUUCUCUCCGAAAUAGCUUUAGGGCUAGCGUCGAUGUUAAGUCUCUUGGAGGUAGAGCACUGUUUGGGUGAGGGGUCCAUCCCGGAUUACCAAUCUCAGAUAAACUCCGAAUGCCAAUGAGAUAUAAUCGGCAGUCAGACUGCGAGUGCUAAGAUCCGUAGUCGAAAGGGAAACAGCCCAGACCUACAGCUAAGGUCCCAAAAUAUAUGUUAAGUGGAAAAGGAUGUGGGGUUGCACAGACAACUAGGAUGUUAGCUUAGAAGCAGCUAUUCAUUCAAAGAGUGCGUAAUAGCUCACUAGUCGAGUGACCCUGCGCCGAAAAUGUACCGGGGCUAAAACAUAUUACCGAAGCUGUGGAUACCUUUAUAGGUAUGGUAGGAGAGCGUUCUAUGUGCGAAGAAGGUGUACCGUGAGGAGUGCUGGAGCGCAUAGAAGUGAGAAUGCCGGUAUGAGUAGCGAAAGACAGGUGAGAAUCCUGUCCACCGUAAGACUAAGGUUUCCAGGGGAAGGCUCGUCCGCCCUGGGUUAGUCGGGACCUAAGGAGAGACCGAAAGGUGUAUCCGAUGGACAACAGGUUGAUAUUCCUGUACUAGAGUAUAUAGUGAUGGAGGGACGCAGUAGGCUAACUAAACCAGACGAUUGGAAGUGUCUGGCCAAGCAGUGAGGUGUGAUAUGAGUCAAAUGCUUAUAUCUUUAACAUUGAGCUGUGAUGGGGAGCGAAGUUUAGUAGCGAAGUUAGUGAUGUCACACUGCCGAGAAAAGCUUCUAGCGUUAAUUAUACUCUACCCGUACCGCAAACCGACACAGGUAGUCGAGGCGAGUAGCCUCAGGUGAGCGAGAGAACUCUCGUUAAGGAACUCGGCAAAAUGGCCCCGUAACUUCGGGAGAAGGGGCGCUGACUGAUGGUCAGCCGCAGUGAAUAGGCCCAAGCAACUGUUUAUCAAAAACACAGCUCUCUGCUAAAUCGUAAGAUGAUGUAUAGGGGGUGACGCCUGCCCGGUGCUGGAAGGUUAAGAGGAGGGCUUAGCGUAAGCGAAGGCAUGAAUUGAAGCCCCAGUAAACGGCGGCCGUAACUAUAACGGUCCUAAGGUAGCGAAAUUCCUUGUCGGGUAAGUUCCGACCCGCACGAAAGGCGUAAUGAUUUGGGCACUGUCUCAACGAGAGACUCGGUGAAAUUUUAGUACCUGUGAAGAUGCAGGUUACCCGCGACAGGACGGAAAGACCCCAUGGAGCUUUACUGCAGUUUGAUAUUGAGUAUCUGUACCACAUGUACAGGAUAGGUAGGAGCCUAUGACCUCGGGACGCCAGUUUCGAGUGAGGCGUUGUUGGGAUACUACCCUUGUGUUAUGGCUACUCUAACCCAGAUAGGUUAUCCCUAUCGGAGACAGUGUCUGACGGGCAGUUUGACUGGGGCGGUCGCCUCCUAAAAGGUAACGGAGGCGCCCAAAGGUUCCCUCAGAAUGGUUGGAAAUCAUUCGCAGAGUGUAAAGGUAUAAGGGAGCUUGACUGCGAGAGCUACAACUCGAGCAGGGACGAAAGUCGGGCUUAGUGAUCCGGUGGUUCCGUAUGGAAGGGCCAUCGCUCA